rnacentral:rRNA from 1 species
CAGGUGUUGCAUGGCUGUCGUCAGCUCGUGUCGUGAGAUGUCGGUUAAGUCCGCUAACGAGCGCAAACCCUCGUCGUAUGUUAUAUGUGUCAUACGAGACUGCCGGUAAAAGCCGGAGGAAGGUGAGGAUGAUGUCAAGGUCAGCAUGACCUUUAUAUCCAGGGCUACACACACGCUACAAUGGUCUGUACAAUGGGUAGCCAAGCCGCGAGGCGGAGCCAAUCCUGAAAAGCAGGCCUCAGUUCAGAUUGCAGUCUGCAACUCGACUGCAUGAAGCCGGAGUUGCUAGUAACCGCAGGUCAGCAAUACUGCGGUCGAAUACGUUCCCGGGCCUU